AUACGUAGGGUGCAAGCGUUAAUCGGAAUUACUGGGCGUAAAGCGUGCGCAGGCGGUUUUGUAAGACAGAGGUGAAAUCCCCGGGCUCAACCUGGGAACUGCCUUUGUGACUGCAAGGCUAGAGUACGGCAGAGGGGGAUGGAAUUCCGCGUGUAGCAGUGAAAUGCGUAGAUAUGCGGAGGAAAACCGAUGGCGAAGGCAAUCCCCUGGGCCUGUACUGACGCUCAUGCACGAAAGCGUGGGGAGCAAACAGGAUUAGAUACCCUGGUAGUCCACGCCCUAAACGAUGUCAACUGGUUGUUGGGUCUUCAUUGACUCAGUAACGAAGCUAACGCGUGAAGUUGACCGCCUGGGGAG
rnacentral:rRNA from 1 species